UACAGUUUGAUCCUGGCUCACAUUGAACGCUGGCGGCAUGCCUUACACAUGCAAGUCGAACGGUAACGCGGGGCAACCUGGCGACGAGUGGCGAACGGGUGAGUAAUGCAUCGGAACGUGCCCAGUAGUGGGGGAUAGCCCGGCGAAAGCCGGAUUAAUACCGCAUACGACCUAUGGGUGAAAGCGGGGGACCGUAAGGCCUCGCGCUAUUGGAGCGGCCGAUGUCAGAUUAGGUUGUUGGUGGGGUAAAAGCCUACCAAGCCGACGAUCUGUAGCUGGUCUGAGAGGACGACCAGCCACACUGGGACUGAGACACGGCCCAGACUCCUACGGGAGGCAGCAGUGGGGAAUUUUGGACAAUGGGGGCAACCCUGAUCCAGCCAUGCCGCGUGCGGGAAGAAGGCCUUCGGGUUGUAAACCGCUUUUGCCAGGGAAGAAACGCGCUGAGUUAACACCUCGGCGUAAUGACGGUACCUGAAGAAUAAGCACCGGCUAACUACGUGCCAGCAGCCGCGGUAAUACGUAGGGUGCAAGCGUUAAUCGGAAUUACUGGGCGUAAAGCGUGCGCAGGCGGCUUUGCAAGACAGAUGUGAAAUCCCCGGGCUCAACUGGGGAACUGCAUUUGUGACUGCA
rnacentral:rRNA from 1 species